GAUAACUGAACUAUUUAGCGGAUUGCGCCGGUUUAGAGGUGGUCGAGCGAAGCUAAAGAUGUUUAGUUAGAUGUAGAUUUUUGUUCAAAUCAUGUUUGUAAUCAAAGUUUGAAUUGUCCGUAUUAGGUUUUGAUGUUUAGUUUAAUUUCCGUAAUCCGCUACUAGUUGUCUUUGUAAUUUCUGUCACAAACUUGAAAACUUGGUAUAAUAUUUAACACUUUACCAAAAAAAAAAAAAAAACCCUACCUAACCCUAAACCCUACUAACCCUAAACCCUACCUAAUUCUAAACCUAUCUAACCCUAAACCCUAUCUAACCCUAAACCUUUUUUAGCCCUAAACCCUACCUAACCCUAAACCCUACUAACCCUAAACUCUACCUAACCCUAAACCCUACCUAUUUCUAAACCCUAUCUAACCCUAAACCCUAUCUAGCCCUAAACCCUACCUACCCUAAACCCUACCUAGCUCUAAACCCUACUAACCCUAAACCCUACCUAACCCUAAACCCUACCUAACCCUAAACCCUAACUAACCCUAAACUACUUCUAACCCUAAACUUGACAUAACCCUAAACCCUGCCUAACCCUAAACCCUAUAAUCCAAAGCAUUAUUCUAAACCAAACUCUAAACUCUACUUACCCUAAACCCUACCUAACCCUAAACCCUACCUAAUUCUAAACCUAUCUAACCUUAAACCCUACCUAACCCUAAACACUACUAACCCUAAACCCUACCUAAUUCUAAACCUAUCUAACCCUAAACCCUACCUAACCCAAAACCCUUUCUAGCCCUAAACCCUACCUAACCCUAAACCCUACUAACCCUAAACCCUACCUAACCCUAAACCCUACCUAACCCUACUAACCCUACUAACCCUAAACCCAACUAACCCUAAACCCGACCUAACCCUACCUAACCCUACUAACCCUAUCUAACCCUAAACCCUACCUAGCCCUAAACCCUACUAACCCUAAACCCUAUCUAACCCUAAACCCUACCUAACCCUAAACCCUACCUAACCCUAAACCCUUCUAACCCUAAACCUGACAUAACCCUAAACCCUGCCUAAACCUAAACCCUGCCUAACCCUAAACCCUACUUAACCCUAAACCCUUUCUAACCCUAAACCCUGCUAACC
rnacentral:lncRNA from 1 species